UAGGGAAUCUUCCACAAUGGACGCAAGUCUGAUGGAGCAACGCCGCGUGAGUGAAGAAGGUUUUCGGACCGUAAAGCUCUGUUGUUGGUGAAGAAGGAUAGAGGUAGUAACUGGCCCUUUAUUUGACGGUAAUCAACCAGAAAGUCACGGCUAACUACGUGCCAGCAGCCGCGGUAAUACGUAGGUGGCAAGCGUUGUCCGGAUUUAUUGGGCGUAAAGCGAGCGCAGGCGGAAGAAUAAGUCUGAUGUGAAAGCCCUCGGCUUAACCGAGGAAUUGCACCGGAAACUGUUUUUCUUGAGUGCAGAAGAGGAGAGUAGAACUCCAUGUGUAGCGGUGGAAUGCGUAGAUAUAUGGAAGAAUACCAGUGGCGAAGGCGGCUCUCUGGUCUGCAACUGACGCUGAGGCUCGAAAGCAUGGGUAGCGAACAGGAUUAGAUACCCUGGUAGUCCAUGCC
rnacentral:rRNA from 1 species